rnacentral:rRNA from 1 species
AACUUCUGAAUGUUGACCUCGGAUCAGGUAG